rnacentral:tRNA from 1 species
GGGUUUGUGGCUCAGCGGUAGAGCACUCACCUAGCACGUGGGAGGCACUGGGUUCAAUCCUCAGAAACACA